GAGGAAUAUUGGUCAAUGGACGAGAGUCUGAACCAGCCGAGUAGCGUGAAGGAUGACUGCCCUAUGGGUUGUAAACUUCUUUUAUAUGGGAAUAAAGUGAGCCACGUGUGGCUUUUUGUAUGUACCAUACGAAUAAGGAUCGGCUAACUCCGUGCCAGCAGCCGCGGUAAUACGGAGGAUCCGAGCGUUAUCCGGAUUUAUUGGGUUUAAAGGGAGCGUAGGCGGACUAUUAAGUCAGCUGUGAAAGUUUGCGGCUCAACCGUAAAAUUGCAGUUGAUACUGGUCGUCUUGAGUGCAGUAGAGGUAGGCGGAAUUCGUGGUGUAGCGGUGAAAUGCUUAGAUAUCACGAAGAACUCCGAUUGCGAAGGCAGCUUACUGGACUGUAACUGACGCUGAUGCUCGAAAGUGUGGGUAUCAAAC
rnacentral:rRNA from 1 species